rnacentral:lncRNA from 1 species
AAAGAUUACAUCAAGAGCAGCCAAACACCUGCAGCAGAAGAACUUCAAUUACAACUUCCCUAACGAAUCCAAAAACUCUAAAUACUGAUCCACGCUCUCAACUAAACGUCAUUUACACCAAAAAAUAAUUUUUUUCAUACAAUUAUUUUUAAUUCUAGAGAUGUGAAUUCUCCUAUUUCUCAAGGCAAGCAUUGUUCCUUUCUUCCCAAAUGGUCCAGAAGAUGCAUAAAGAAAUGGUCCUCCAAAGCUGCUUCUUACUUCUUAUUAUCUUCUGUCCUUGCCAGCUAAACAGUAAUGACUUUAUGUCUGAAGGCAUAGUCCAAGAAGCACCACUCAAAUUCAAGAAAAGCUCCCAGCACUGUAGCAAUUUUACAGUAGAUAAACAGAUGGUUAACAGUUUCCAACUCUUCUUCACAUAAAAUAACAUCUGUUACUUGGACUAAAUCCUCUCUUUUGUAGAUUAUCUUGCGGAAGACAAGCUUCUCUGAUGACAAUCCACCCAAUACAAGCCACUUUAGCAGGCACUCUGGUUCUCCAUAACAUUUUCCAAGGCAAAUUAGAGUCAUAAGAAUCAGAUUGUUUUGGGAGAAAGUUAUUUAACAGCUUUUAACAGAGUAUUGCAUAUCACUACUUGCUCCAUACCAAUCGAUCCUCCUUGUUUUGCUCUAUCACUGUUGUGCUCAACAAUUGGAGUAUCUGUGCCACUUCUUCAUCUCCCAAUCAUUAAAACCUCGUCUGGAGUUUAAUUGCCAGCCAUUUGUGGAGUAAAACUCGGCAACAUGUCCAUCUUUGAUAGUAGAGCAAUUAUAUAGGCUCGGAAAUUUGGUACUUAACCUCACAUUCCCACCCAUACUUCAGUCCAGAAUCUGAUUUUACUUCCAUUUCCCAGCUUCAGUCUAGUGUGUUGUUCAAAUUCAUUGCACAGCUUACUGAUAUUGCUCCAGAUAUUGCCUUUUGUUGAACUGUGAACAGUUGCAGGCCCCCAUGUAUACUUCUUUCCAAGUGCUUUCCUUUCCAUCAUUGUAUCUUUUUUUUUUAUUUGUACCAGGUAUCCAAGUCUCUAAGAGCCCCGACUAAUCCCGGGGUACACAGGUCCUUUCCAUCAUUGUAUCUCCACAACCAUUUAUAUAGUAAACUCUUAUUGUGCAUUCUCAAGUUUCUAACCCACAUACCUCCUCCCUUUUUAACAGUUAUUACCUUUUACCAUUUUUACCAAAUGUAACUUCUUUCUAUCUGCAUUUCCUUCCUAUAAGAAGUUACUCCUCAUAGUCUUUAACUAGAACCUUUUUAUUUGCUAAUAUGGAUGAUGGUUCCAAUAAUGAUCCACCGUAAGUUUCUUUCUUCAUUUUUUCUAACUAUA